AGCUAGAUCACUUGCUUCACCAUCAUCCAGGUUUCGUGAGGAUUGUUGUUGCUGCAUCUGCUGGAAACCAGAAAAGGGCUGUGCGCUCCCGAAGGCUGGCUGUGCGCUCCCGAAGGCUGGCUGUGCGCUUCCGAAGGCUGAAACUUGACUUUGAUUGCUUGCUCCUCCGAAUAAAGAAGACCCUUCUGCUUCAGGUUUAGCGCUUUGUGCUCCAAAAACUGAAGUUUGAAAGAGCUGUGCGCUUCCGAAGGUCGACUGUGAAAGUCCGAAGCCUGCCGGUGAGCUUCCGAAGGCUGGCUGUGCGCUUCCGAAGGCUGAAACUGGACUUUGAUUGCUUGCUCCUCCGAAUAAAGAUGGCCCUCCUGCUUCAGGUGUAGCGCUUUGUGCUCCAAAAACUGAAGUUUGAAAGGGCUGUGCGCUUCCGAAGGUCGACUGUGAAAGUCCGAAGCCUGCCGGUGAGCUUCCGAAGGCUGGCUGUGCGCUUCCGAAGGCUGAAACUGGACUUUGAUUGCUUGCUCCUCCGAAUAAAGAUGGCCCUCCUGCUUCAGGUGUAGCGUUUUGUGCUCCAAAAAGUGAAGAUUGAAAGGCCUGUGCGCUUCCGAAGGUCGACUGUGAAAGUCCGAAGCCUGGCGGUGCGCUUCCUAAGGCUGGCUGAGCGUUCCCGAAUACUGACGGGGACGCUGCAAGACUUUGAUAGCUUGCAA
rnacentral:lncRNA from 1 species